rnacentral:rRNA from 1 species
GACGAACGCUGGCGGCGUGCUUAACACAUGCAAGUCGAACGGAAAGGCCCUGCUUUUGUGGGGUGCUCGAGUGGCGAACGGGUGAGUAACACGUGAGUAACCUGCCCUUGACUUUGGGAUAACUUCAGGAAGCUGGGGCUAAUACCGGAUAGGAGCUCCUGCUGCAUGGUGGGGGUUGGAAAGUUUCGGCGGUUGGGGAUGGACUCGCGGCUUAUCAGCUUGUUGGUGGGGUAGUGGCUUACCAAGGGUUUGACGGGUAGCCGGCCUGAGAGGGUGACCGGCCACAUUGGGACUGAGAUACGGCCCAGACUCCUACGGGAGGCAGCAGUGGGGAAUAUUGCACAAUGGGCGGAAGCCUGAUGCAGCAACGCCGCGUGCGGGAUGACGGCCUUCGGGUUGUAAACCGCUUUCGCCUGUGACGAAGCGUGAGUGACGGUAAUGGGUAAAGAAGCACCGGCUAACUACGUG